UUGACUGACACUCUCUCCAAAUUUAACAAUCAAUAAGAUCAAUAACAUACUCCCAUUAUGAAAAAGAAUAUCACACUUUUACUUUGCCACUAAAAAUACUAUAAGUUUCCUAAGUCCCACUCCCUCAUUUGAAAAUGCUAGCUCAUUUGUCUUCAUAUCACUAAACCAUCAACAUCAUUGCGACGAAGCACAUUGUGAAUACUACGGAAGGUCAGAUGUCCACAACCUUUGCAUCUCAAGUAGACGAUUUCCAUAGUUUGAACCCAUGAUCUCCAGCUUACAAAAAAUUGGGAGGAAAGAGUAGACAAAUGCCUAUAGACAUGAACUAGAAAGCAAGACUAACUUUUGGCAUGCUAAAAGAAAUGGCCAUAUCUGCUGCCACUCUGUUACUAAUUGCAUAUAAAAAUUGUUUGUUUCAGAUUGUUUGCACUGAAGACCAUUUCACGGUCCAUGACAGGUAGCCUUAACCUUCAAUAUGAGCUGCAUUAUUGAUGGUUUAACCAAAGGCCAUUUCAGUCCCUUUCCUCCAAAUACAAACACACACACUCAAUUUCCCAUGCAUUCUUAUGCGGGCAUACAUGAUACAUGAACUUACAACAUCAGACUGCGUUAGUUUCUAAUCCUAAAACAGAACUAAUAUUCCG
rnacentral:misc_RNA from 1 species